rnacentral:ncRNA from 2 species
UCCUCUAAAAUGAAAAGAUAUCGUAUAUGUCCGAAAAUAGGGUUCGGAUGUUUCUACCGGGUUACCGUAAAUGACCCGACUACGAGCGGAAUAAAUACAUAG